UAUGUGUUUCCAUGUGAAUGUCAGUCUGUUAGCAGUCGCCAUUCGCUUAGGUUUCUUCGGAAAGUGUUUCCUACAAAAGAAAGUUUGUGAAAAUUGUGAGAAGUUUUUCCUUUUCUGUUCCCCUCAGUUUAAUUAUGUUUAUGACUUUAAACGAAGUGUUUACUAGUGAUUUUAAUUGUGACGAUAAUAAUUUAAAGAUGCCAGCCAUAAUGAGUAGUAAUUGCAAUGCAAGUGCGCUGCUGAGCAAGAAGCGCUCCGCCGCUUCCGUUACUGAGGCCGAAUGCUACAACAUGUCUCUGGGUGCCGGGCCUCUGUGGUGGUCCUGAUGCCCCUGGGGAACACAGGGGCAGUCCAGGGGAUCAGCCGAACUCCUCUACAUCACCCCCACUCCGGCUAACAUUCCGCGCAACUCCGGGCGCUGGCAGUCCACCACGCAGCCCCGCCUCUUCCCAGUCGUGGGACGCAGUGCUGCGCGGAGACACGCUGUACGUUGCUGCGCCGCCUCAUCUUGGUGAAGGCAGUAGGCAGGCUUUUGUGGCUCUGCUCGAGGCUGCAGAGGAUCAGCUCAAG